rnacentral:rRNA from 1 species
UACGUAGGGGGCAAGCGUUGUCCGGAAUCAUUGGGCGUAAAGCGCGCGUAGGCGCCCGAUCAGUCCGCUGUAAAAGUCCAGGGCUCAACCCUGGAAAGCCGGUGGAUACUGUCGGGCUAGAGUCCGGAAGAGGCGAGUGGAAUCCUGGUGUAGCGGUGGAAUGCGCAGAUAUCAGGAGGAACACCGAUAGCGAAGGCAGCUCGCUGGGACGGUACUGACGCUGAGGUGCGAAAGCGUGGGGAGCGAACAGG